rnacentral:rRNA from 1 species
AUUGAACGCUGGCGGCAUGCCCUACACAUGCAAGUCGAACGGUAACAGGUCUUCGGAUGCUGACGAGUGGCGAACGGGUGAGUAAUACAUCGGAACGUGCCCGAGAGUGGGGGAUAACGAGGCGAAAGCUUUGCUAAUACCGCAUACGAUCUCAGGAUGAAAGCAGGGGACCGCGAGGCCUUGCGCUCACGGAGCGGCCGAUGGCAGAUUAGGUAGUUGGUGGGAUAAAAGCUUACCAAGCCGACGAUCUGUAGCUGGUCUGAGAGGACGACCAGCCACACUGGGACUGAGACACGGCCCAGACUCCUACGGGAGGCAGCAGUGGGGAAUUUUGGACAAUGGGCGCAAGCCUGAUCCAGCCAUGCCGCGUGCAGGAUGAAGGCCUUCGGGUUGUAAACUGCUUUUGUACGGAACGAAAAGACUCUGGUUAAUACCUGGGGUCCAUGACGGUACCGUAAGAAUAAGCACCGGCUAACUACGUGCCAGCAGCCGCAGUAAGAC